CCCUCCCUGGAACCAAGUGCUCUUCUGACUCAUCCCUUGUGCAGACCAAAUUUAUCGAAAAGCACUUGCUGGCCGUGAGGUUCUUCCCUUGCUGACCCUUUGUGCUGCAGACCCGCUGAGGACAGACUAUGGGGAACAUUUCUGAAAGUAGGUCCUCGCCGGAUUGAAGAAAACAUACCGUUGGUGUCCUGAAAUUGCCAGUGAUGCCCUGGGCAGAGCACUGACUGUGGCCAGCUGGAGCAGCCCUGGACAAGUUGAUUUCUUGCCUUCAGAAGUUUUUCUUCUCUGGACAUAGCAGAAGACACAUCUGUAGGACUUCUGCAGCCAAGAUUGAUCCCCCAUGCUGCUCUGACAGGCUGGACUCUCCUUCUUACCUCCAUCAUGAGUCUCUGAAUUGAGUGACAUGGUACAAAAACUCUAUGUCCCUUUAUGUUAUUAUUGUACCCAAUUCCAUCUUCAUACAUUAUGUGUUCAUCAAAACAUCUGUGCUUAUUAAUUAUACCGUUUCUUUCUAAAUAAAAUAGGAGAAAAGCUUACAAACAAAA